rnacentral:lncRNA from 1 species
UAGAAAAUGAAAUAGAAGAACCAUACCAGAGCAUAAUGCACAUUACAAAGACAGGGUCUCAUUAUUGUUGCCCAGACUCAUCUCAAACUCCUGGCUCAAAUGAUCCUCCCACCUCAGCCUCCUGUAUAGCUGGGAUUACAGGUGCAUGCCACCAUGUCCAGCUUUACUAAAUAAAUGGUCACAUAUCCAUCUCUGAGUCUGUCACUGGGAGAAUGGGAUGCUUUUUUGGACCAGGCCUGACUUACAUACCCAUCUGGGACAAUAGGACUUUCUAUGGGGACAACUUCAUCUGUACAUGGACAGAGACUGAAGAAUGGAGGUAAUCUCUCCAGGAUUGAGUAUUGUUGAGUAGAGGUAUAGUUGAUUUCCACUGGUAGAAAUGAUAACUCCAAAGAUGACAUUUUAUUGCUCGAUUGGAUAGUACUCAAAUUUUCAUCUAUUAGGUAAUUCAUUUGAACAUUCCUGAUGUUACGUCUCCUGUUUUCUGUUCUUUUGACCAGUCUUAACAUCUUAUUUAACAUAAUUAAUUAAUGAGUUAAACAAAUCUUUAACAUCUGUUCACUUUGUGUGAAAGUCAUGUUUUUAACUUUCUUUUUUCUGAGACAAGGUCUCACUUUGUUGCUCAGGCUACGGUGAAGUGGCAUGAUCACAGCUCACUGCAACCCUGACCUCCUGCGCCUCAAGCGAUCCUCCUGCCUCAGCCUCCCAAGUAGCUAGAAUUACAGGGGGCUCCACCAUGCCUGGCUAAGUUUUUAACUUUUUGAAAAUUGUAUUUCAACAAUUGAGAGGAAGCUAUCUUCCUCUCAGUAUCUUCAGGGAUAUCAUAGCUUUAAAUUUAGCUAACAUUUUAAACAACUUGCCAUCCAGGUUAGCCAGACUUCUUGAAAGUGGUUCCUCCAGCCCCCAGCCAAGCUGCCCUGGCAGAUGCUAUCUGGAAUUGAGAUGAGCUGUUCCUUCUGAUUCCUGCCCAAAUUGUAGAUUAGUGAGCAAAAUAAAUGAAUGGUACUGUUUUAAGCCACUCAGUUUUGGGGUUAUUUGUAACACAACAAUAAAUGAAUGAUACAAGGAGACUUUCCUUUACAUACAUCUUUGUCUGAAAUUUUUACAACAAACCCUUGUUACAUUUAAAAUUUUGCUGUUGUUGUUAUUUUUUCUGAGACAGAGUUUUGCUCUUUUGUUGCCUAGGCUGGAGUGCAGUGGUGCAAUCAUGGCUCACUACAACCCCGACCUCCUGGGCUCAAGCCAUCCUCCUGCCUCAGCCUCUCAAGUAGCUGGGACUACAGGUGCGUGCCACCAUGCCUAGCUAAUUUUUAAAUUUUUUUGUAGAGACAAGGUCUCACCAUCUUGCCCAGGCUGGUCUUGAACUCCUGAGCUCAAGUGUUCCUCCUGCAUCAGCCACCCAAAAUGUUGGAAUUACAGGUGUGAACCACCGUGCCUGGCCUACAAUUUUUGAAUACAUAUUUUGAGGAAAAAUUAAAAUU